rnacentral:lncRNA from 1 species
AGGGGAGCCUGUGCAGUGCCAGAGGGCCUGAAGCCAGUGGGCAGAGAGAGGGCUGCUGCAGUCGGUGGGGAGGAAGUCACCCCUUCUCCAGCUCCAUGAUGCUGCCUCACGCAAUGAGCUUUGGGAUGGACAGCCUGUGAACCAGACUCUCCCUCUCUCCAGGAAAUUUGCAACACCUUCCCGCCCUUCCAGUUUGAGUGCUCGGUAGCUGCACAUCCUGUGAACAGGUUGCACACACAGGAAUCUCAACAUUAUGAAUAACUGCAAGCAGGAUGACACCGGGAUCCUCUUCUCUCCCUCCCAAUGCCUGCAGUGGAUAUCUGGACUACAUAUGCAGUGGGAGAGCUGGAAGAGCCUGUUACAAACCUCAGCCCAUUAGCAUCUCCCAGCUCUGUCUUUUGAGAAGAUGACUGAGAGGAAGGUGGUAUUGAGAAAACAAAGCAUCCAGCCUUUGUGAAGCUGAGCCUUAAGGUCCCCUCUCCAGCCCUGGCUGACCCCAGACCCUCGUUUUCUUCUCUGGCAUCCAACUUCAAGGAUUGGCCUGUUUCCCUUUAACUAUAGCUACCACUCAGCUCACUCGCUGAAGAAGGCAGAGCCCACGCCUCCUGGCACAGUUUCCCUUCGGCUACCUAAGGCAAGCGAAUGAGUCUUUUUCAUCGUAAUGAGCUGUAUUUCCCUCACUAUGGAACAACAGGGGCUAAACAAAUUAAUAAAUAUGCUCAGC